UGGUCAAAUUUAGACGGGCUACAUUUGGCAUUGUCUUUUUUUUCUUAAAAAAAGAAGGGACAUAAAAUCUAUUUCUUUUUUUUAAAUCUAAUAGUAAAAACAUGUUUGAUUUUUUUUUUGGUGUAAUAAGAAAACUAAGAAAAUAUAUUUAAUAAAUCAGAUUAGAUGUGGAGGUGGCAAAGGAAUGGUUGGCUCUGGUGAUGAUGGCCUCAAUGC
rnacentral:lncRNA from 1 species